rnacentral:rRNA from 1 species
GACGAACGCUGGCGGCGUGCUUAACUCAUGCAAGUCGAACGGAAAGACCCUGCUUUUGUGGGGUGCUCGAGUGGCGAACGGGUGAGUAACACGUGAGUAACCUGCCCUUGACUUUGGGAUAACUUCAGGAAACUGGGGCUAAUACCGGAUAGGAGCUCCUGCUGCAUGGUGGGGGUUGGAAAGUUUCGGCGGUUGGGGAUGGACUCGCGGCUUAUCAGCUUGUUGGUGGGGUAGUGGCUUACCAAGGCUUUGACGGGUAGCCGGCCUGAGAGGGUGACCGGCCACAUUGGGACUGAGGUACGGCCCAGACGCCUACGGGGGGCAGCAGUGGGGAAUAUUGCACAAUGGGCGGGAGCCUGAUGCAGCAACGCCGCGUGCGGGAUGACGGCCUUCGGGUUGUAAACCGCUUUCGCCUGUGACGAAGCGUGAGUGACGGUAAUGGGUAAAGAAGCACCGGCUAACUACGUG